GAGAGACCUGGAGCGUUUGGCGCCUUCAGAGGAGCCAGGCGUUUGCUUGGUCUCCCCUAAUCCUGGGAACCUGCUGUGUUGCAGACGAGCCUCCUCCCGCCCGCGUGGCUGGGCCUGCUGCUGGGACCCCUCCCUGUCAGAUAGGAGCUUAUCCCACAGACCUGACCCUGCAGCUGCUGGCUGUACGGAGGAAGAGUGGACUGCGGGACCCCGGCCUACAGCAGACCCUCCGGGGCCAGCUCCGCCUGCUGGAGAAUGACAGCCGGGAGAUGGCCCGCGUGCUCGGGGAAUUAUCAGCCAGGCUGCUGUCUAUCCACAGUGACCAGGACCGGAUCGUGGUGACGUUUAAGACUUUUGAAGAAAUCUGGAAAGUUUCCACUUACCACGCUCUUGGCUUCACUCAUCACUGCCUGGCAAACCUGCUCAUGGACCAGGCCUUCUGGCUGCUCUCGCCCAGUGAGGAGGAGGAGACGGCCAUCCAAGUCCACGUGGAUGAGAACGCCUUGAGGCUGACCCACGAGAGCCUCCUCAUCCAAGAAGGUGGGCUCUUAGGGUCCCCCAGGACCCCAUCGAUGACGCCAUGGGUGGCCCUGUGAUGCCCGACAACCCGCUGAUGGCUGUGGGCCUGGCCUCGGCAUUGGCAGACUUCCAGGGCUCGGGGCCUGAAGAGAUGACCUUCCGAGGUGGAGACCUUAUCGAGAUCCUUGGGGCGCAGGUGCCUGGCCUGCCCUGGUGCGUGGGCCGACACACAGCCU
rnacentral:sRNA from 1 species